UACGGAGGAUCCAAGCGUUGUCCGGAUUUAUUGGGUUUAAAGGGUGCGUAGGCGGAUCUUUAAGUCAGUGGUGAAAUCCUGCAGCUUAACUGUAGAACAGCCAUUGAAACUGAGGAUCUUGAAUUUGGUUAAAGUAGGCGGAAUGUAUCAUGUAGCGGUGAAAUGCUUAGAUAUGAUACAGAACACCGAUAGCGAAGGCAGCUUGCUGAACCAAUAUUGACGCUGAGGCACGAAAGCGUGGGGAGCGAUCCGG
rnacentral:rRNA from 1 species